rnacentral:rRNA from 1 species
GGAUCUUGCGACAAUGGGCGAAAGCCUGACGCAGCAACGCCGCGUGGGCGAUGAAGGCCUUCGGGUUGUAAAGCCCUUUUCUGGGGGAAGAGGAAGGACGGUACCUCAGGAAUAAGUCACGGCUAACUACGUGCCAGCAGCCGCGGUAAUACGUAGGUGGCAAGCGUUAUCCGGAUUCACUGGGCGUAAAGCGCGUGCAGGCGGUUUCGUAAGUCGGACGUGAAAGCUCCUGGCUUAACUGGGAGAGGUCGUUCGAUACUGCGGGGCUUGAGGUCGGGAGAGGGACGUGGAAUUCCCGGUGUAGUGGUGGAAUGCGUAGAUAUCGGGAGGAACACCAGUGGCGAAGGCGACGUCCUGGCCCGCACCUGACGCUGAGACGCGAAAGCGUGGGUAGCAAACGG